GCCUACGGGGGGCUGCAGUGAGGAAUAUUGGUCAAUGGGCGCAAGCCUGAACCAGCCAUCCCGCGUGCAGGAAGACGGCGCUAUGCGUUGUAAACUGCUUUUCCAGGGGGAGAAACUUCCGUACGUGUACGGAAUUGACGGUACCCUGGGAAUAAGCAUCGGCUAACUCCGUGCCAGCAGCCGCGGUAAUACGGAGGAUGCAAGCGUUAUCCGGAUUCAUUGGGUUUAAAGGGUGCGUAGGCGGACUAUUAAGUCAGUGGUGAAAUCCUGCAGCUUAACUGCAGAACUGCCAUUGAUACUGAUGGUCUUGAGUUUGGUUAAGGUAGGCGGAAUGUGUAAUGUAGCGGUGAAAUGCUUAGAUAUUACACAGAACACCAAUUGCGUAGGCAGCUUACUGAGCCGACACUGACGCUGAGGCACGAAAGCGUGGGGAUCGAACAGGAUUAGAUACCCUAGUAGUC
rnacentral:rRNA from 1 species